rnacentral:rRNA from 1 species
AUUGAACGCUGGCGGCAGGCUUAGCACAUGCAAGUCGGACGGUAACAGGAGGAAAGCUUGCUUUCUUUGCUGACGAGUGGCGGACGGGUGAGUAAUGCUUGGGAAUCUGUUUUAUGGAGGGGGAUAACUACGGGAAACUGUAGCUAAUACCGCGUAAUAUCGAGAGAUUAAAGUGUGGGACCGUAAGGCCACAUGCCAUAGAGUGAGCCCAAGUGGGAUUAGGUAGUUGGUGGGGUAAAGGCCUACCAAGCCGUCGAUCUCUAGCUGGUCUGAGAGGAUGACCAGCCACACUGGGACUGAGACACGGCCCAGACUCCUACGGGAGGCAGCAGUGGGGAAUAUUGCACAAUGGGCGCAAGCCUGAUGCAGCCAUGCCGCGUGAAUGAAGAAGGCCUUCGGGUUGUAAAGUUCUUUCGGUGGUGAGGAAGGUUGUAAUGUUAAUAGCAUUAUAAUUUGACGUUAGCCACAGAAGAAGCACCGGCUAACUCCGUGCCAGCAGCCGCGGUAAUACGGAGGGUGCGAGCGUUAAUCGGAAUAACUGGGCGUAAAGGGCGCGCAGGCGGAUACUUAAGUGAGGUGUGAAAGCCCUGGGCUUAACCUAGGAAUUGCAUUUCAUACUGGGUAUCUAGAGUAUUUUAGGGAGGGGUAGAAUUCCACGUGUAGCGGUGAAAUGCGUAGAGAUGUGGAGGAAUACCGAAGGCGAAGGCAGCCCCUUGGGGGAAUACUGACGCUCAUGUGCGAAAGCGUGGGGAGCAAACAGG